AUUCCUUGUUUAUGGCUCAUGUGGCUUUCAUUAUCUAUUAUGAGGAGCUAAUGAUGUACAAUGCUGUUAGAGUUAUCUCUGGUGAUUUCUGCCCACCCUUUACAACUUUUUGUAUAGUUAUGACAAGUUCCAUCUGAUUCAACACGUCCCAUCCAGACCAGUGCUGCUUCAUCAGCUCCAGUCAGUGUGGCUUGUUGGGCGCAGUAAUAAACCGCAGUGUCCUCUGUCCUCAGACUCUUGGCCUCUGUGUGCUUGCUGGGACGUCUUCUGUAAAGAUGUGCGUUUUGGGCUGAGUUGAGUUUGUAGAACUGUCAAUGAUACCAACAAACACUUUACACAGCUCCGAUUCAACAACCUGCAGAAAAGCUUUGGAAUGGAGGUGUUUCUAAAGGUGGAUUAAAUGUAUUUUCACCUCAAGACAAAGGUCAAAGAUGAAAAGUUACAGUGAUGUUCUUAUAUCUUUGAAAUACAGAGAGGACUAAGUGCUGCUAGUUUAUGUAUAGCAGGCAUCCCUGGGGACAAGUGUACUGCAGAGAGAUGAAAAUGAACAUGGAUGUUUUUGUACAGGGCUGCAGGGAGUUUGUAGUGCUGUGUCUCUUGCGCAGUAAUAUACAGCCGUGUCCUCAGGCUGAAAGUUCUGUCCUCUUAAAUAAACUGUACUGAUGGAUUUGUCCUGGCUGAAACUGA